rnacentral:rRNA from 1 species
GUGCCAGCAGCCGCGGUAAUACGGAGGGUGCAAGCAUUGAUCGGAAUUACUGGGCGUAAAGGGCGCGUAGGCGGCUUGAUAAGUCGGAUGUGAAAUUCCGGGGCUCAACCCCGGAGCUGCAUUUGAAACUAUCGAGCUAGAGUACAAUUAGGGUAAACGGAAUUCCACGUGUAGCGGUGAAAUGCGUAGAUAUGUGGAAGAACACCAGUGGUGAAGACGGUUUACUGGGUUGAAACUGACGCUGAGGCGCGAAAGCUAGGGGAGCAAACAGGAUUAGAAACCCGCGUAGUCC